AUGACGGGACGUCACACGCCGCCAAGAAGAAACGCCUCGGGAGGGACAGGAUACAAGGAGGUAAGAAGCUACACACAUGCCCCGCCCACCUCAGGACGCCAAGACACGAAACACCUGCGGAGGGACAGAGAUACAAGGGUAAGAGCUACGCACCUGCCCCGCCCACCUCAGGACGCCAAGAAGAAACACCUGCGGAGGGACCGAGAUACAAGGAGGGUAAGAAGCUACGCACAUGCCCCGCCCACCUCAGGACGCCAAGAAGAAACACCUGCGGAGGGACAGAGAUACAAGGGUAAGAAGCUACGCACAUGCCCCGCCCACCUCAGGACGCCAAGAAGAAACACCUGCGGAGGGACAGAGACAAGGAGGGUAAGAAGCUACGCACAUGCCCCGCCACCUCAGGACACCAAGAAGAAACACCUGCGGAGGGACAGAGAUACAAGGAGGGUAAGAAGCUACGCACAUGCCCCUCCCACCUCAGGACGCCAAGAAGAAACACCUUCGGAGGGACAGAGAUACAAGAAGGUAAGAAGCUACGCACAUGUCCUCCCACCUCAGGACGCCAAGAAGAAACGCCUGCGGAGGGACGAGAUACAAGAGGGUAAGAAGCUACGCACAUGUCCCUCCCACCUCAGGACGCCAAGAAGAAACACCUGCGGAGGGACAGAGAUACAAGAAGGGUAAGAGCUACGCACAUGCCCCUCCCACCUCAGGACGCCAAGAAGAAACACCUGCGGAGGGACAGGAUACAAGAAGGGUAAGAAGCUAGCACCAUGCCCCUCCCACCUCAGGACGCCAAGAAGAACACCUGCGGAGGACAGAGAUACAAGAAGGGUAAGAAGCUACGCACAUGCCCCUCCCACCUCAGGACGCCAAAGAGAAAACACCUGCGGAGGGACAGAGAUACAAGAAGGGUAGAAGCUACACACAUGCCCCUCCCACCUCAGGACGCCAAGAAGAAACACCUGCGGAGGGACAGAGAUACAAGGAGGGUAAGAGCUACGCACAUGCCCCGCCCACCUCAGGACGCCAAAAGAAGAAACACCUCGGAGGAGGACAGAGAUACAAGGGUAAGAAGCUACGCACAUGCCCCUCCCACCUCAGGACGCACUCUUACCAGCCAUUAUUUCCAUAUUUAAGUUAGAUGUAAAUUCACGUGUCACAAUCUUUGGUUGAAGAUUAUUUAAAAAGAGAACCAACACAUAUUCUAACUCUUGCUUGUACAAAGCACAAUUUCAUGUUUUUAUGAUCCUGUAAAUGUCUUCUGACCCGUCAAACACAGCCAGCCCCGUCAAAGCCGAGGCCCCGUCAAACACAUGCAGGCCCCGUCAAACACAUGCCAGGCCCGUCAAACACAUGCCAGGCCCCGUCAAAACAUGCCAGGCCCCGUCAAACACAUGCCAGGCCCCAUCAACACAUGCCAGGCCCCGUCAAAACACAUGCCAGGCCCCGUCAAACACAUGCCAGGCCCCGUCAACACAUGCAGGCCCCGUCAAAACACAUGCCAGGCCCCGUCAAACACAUGCCAGGCCCCGUCAAACACAUGCCAGGCCCCGUCAAGGAUCAACAUGGAACGUGUUUUUUGAUCUGCAUCCAUUUCAAUGUCGAUGCUUAGAUGGGGAUUAAACGCACCAAGAUAAUAUUUAUAGCACCAAGACAGAGAUAAGUGGUAAAUGUUUCCUUUUAACAUUUUCCAUAGCAUGUCCUAAUGAACACGACCAUAAAGACCGUCCUCCACUGCACCUGAACUUCUGGUAGGGCUGCUGAGGUACUCGUUGAUGGGGUUGAGGUGGGCGUUGUCCCCAAGAACAUCUUAUUGGACGCGGCGUGCUGCGCAUCUUGGCGAUGGAGCCCAGGUUCCCCGUUGGUCUGUGGUCAGCUGACCUCCGGCCGACAGGUCGAUUGUCGAAGGCGUCGGGCGCCACGAUGGCAGGAUUCAUGUAGCGGUAGUACAGCAGGUUACCACGAUCUGAACAGACACACCCCCGUUAGAUAGAGCACUGUACCUCCUGUAGGCAUCCCAGGCAACACCAAGCCUGUCAAGGGACACCAGUGGACAGGGUUUUACUGGUUGUAUAAAACUGUUGUUCUGUGUCCCAGUAAUCUUGGACUCCUUUUCUUUAUAGCCAAUACAUUAUAGCCACUAAUCUUGGACUUGAAAAGUUAAGUAAUGUUCGGAGAUUCAAACUUAGUAGUCAGGGAGAAAAUGAGACGAGGGAAGUUUGCAGCGGGAGGAAGGAAGGUUUGUAACAGAAUUGGUAUGCAGCCUGGGGUGUUGUAGAGAAGAGGGGGGACUGUCUCACCUUGUCUCAGCAGGAGUACAGAAAGACAUGUUCCAACAGAGAGAGAAGACAAGGGAGGAGAGCAUAGCUGUAGAAAGGGGAGGAGAGAGAAGGAGAACAAGGGAGAGAGGAGAGAUGGAGUUAAGGGAGGGAAGAGAAAGAGAAGAAACCACAUUCAGUAGAAGAGUGAUACCAAGUCAAGCUCACCAGGAUAACAGUGCAAGUAGCAAGUAGAGCAGAGCUCCGUAGAGCAGAGCUCCGUAGAGCAGAGCUCCGUGAGCAGAGCUCCGUAGAGCAGAGCUCCGUAGAGCAGGCUCCGUAGAGCAGAGCUCCGUAGAGCAGGCACAGUUCUAGCAGUACAGUGUAACGGUUGACUAUGGUAUAAGAAUGAUAUAAUGACACCUUUAGAAGCUCGUCCUCUGUAGCGUCGGGGAACUUCUCAUGGGUGUGUCCUUCAGCACCUUGGAGGUGAAACGCAUCCCAUACCUGACACACACAAAGACCCAUUUCUUUACUUUUCUAGAGUGGAUUUAGAACUGGUUUAUUCCCUAUAUAAGUGGCCCUCUCUCAUAGAAGUGAUAAGCAUCAUAACCCACAGUUGCUGGUUCAUGUUCUUGUAGAGCAG
ensembl:lncRNA